rnacentral:lncRNA from 1 species
GGAUGUGAUUGACAGAGUAAAUGUGGUCAGAUAAUAUGCGCAACUAUUCUUAAGAAUGUUCUUUCUCUGUGUAAAUAUACAACCAUAUUCAUACUGCAAGCAUUGGAUGUCAGAUUUUGGCAGAUCUUCUGGCAUCUCGGAUUCCUUAGCUUCAUUAGGAGCUUGGUUUUGGUGAAAUGUUGUAUCGUAUCAUAAUGUACAUAUCGUCUUUACCACGGAGGUUGUUGAGGCCAUAGGCUUUCUCGCCUGGAUCAAUGCGACUGCAGUGUCGACUUCUAUUGUAGCUGAGUGGAUUCAGUUUUUUAAUUCUUGGAGUGUAUAGACAAUGAGGAUUUGGUACCUAUCAUAGUAGUUCUGCAU